CUCGUAAGUAUAACAGGUCUAGUAGUUAUAUCUGGUCUAGUAGUUAUAACUGGUCCAGUAGGUAUAACAGGUCUAGUAGUUAUAACAGGUCUAGUAGUUAUAACAGGUCUAGUAGGUAUAACAGGUC